rnacentral:rRNA from 1 species
AGAGUUUGAUCCUGGCUCAGGAUAAACGCUGGCGGCGUGCCUAACACAUGCAAGUCGAACGCUCUGGUGUAUUUCGGUACAGCAGAGAGUGGCGGACGGGUGAGUAACACGUGGGUGACCUACCUUUCAGUGAGGAAUACCGGCGAGAAAUCGCCGACAAGACCGCAUACGCUUCUUUUCGUCAAGGGGAGAAGGAAAGCUCCGCAGGGGGCGCUGGAAGAUGGGCCUGCGGCCGAUUAGCUAGCUGGUGGGGUAAUGGCUUACCAGGGCGACGAUCGGUAGCUGGUCUGAGAGGACGAUCAGCCACACUGGGAUUGAGAACGGCCCAGACUCCUACGGGGGGCAGCAGUGAGGAAUUUUCGGCAAUGGGCGCAAGCCUGACCGAGCAACGCCGCGUGCAGGACGACGGCCUUCGGGUUGUAGACUGCUUUUCUGUGGGAAGAGCAAGGACGGUACCACAGGAAGAAGCCCCGGCUAACUACGUGCCAGCAGCCGCGGUAAUACGUAGGGGGCGAGCGUUGUCCGGAGUUACUGGGCGUAAAGCGCACGCAGGCGGUCGUGUAAGUGGAGGGUGACAGCUGUCGGCUUAACCGAGAGAGUGCCUUCCAGACUGCAGGACUUGAGGGCCACAGAGGGACAUGGAACUCCAGGUGUAGUGGUGAAAUGCGUAGAUAUCUGGAAGAACACCAAAGGCGAAGGCAAUGUCCUGGGUGGUACCUGACGCUCAGGUGCGAAAGCUAGGGGAGCGAACGGGAUCAGAUACCCCGGUAGUCC